rnacentral:rRNA from 1 species
AUUGAACGCUGGCGGCAUGCCUUACACAUGCAAGUCGAACGGCAGCACGGGGCAACCUGGUGGCGAGUGGCGAACGGGUGAGUAAUGCAUCGGAACGUACCUUUCAGUGGGGGAUAACGUAGCGAAAGUUACGCUAAUACCGCAUAUUCUGUGAGCAGGAAAGCAGGGGAUCGCAAGACCUUGCGCUGAUUGAGCGGCCGAUGUCGGAUUAGCUAGUUGGUGGGGUAAAGGCUCACCAAGGCGACGAUCUGGAGCGGGUCUGAGAGGAUGAUCCGCCACACUGGAACUGAGACACGGUCCAGACUCCUACGGGAGGCAGCAGUGGGGAAUUUUGGACAAUGGGGGCAACCCUGAUCCAGCCAUGCCGCGUGAGUGAAGAAGGCCUUCGGGUUGUAAAGCUCUUUCGGCCGGGAAGAAAUCGCACGGGCUAAUACCCUGUGUGGAUGACGGUACCGGAAUAAGAAGCACCGGCUAACUACGUGCCAGCCGCCGCGGUAACAC